ensembl:lncRNA
AGAAGGCUGAGCUGUGGUGUGCAGCUCCGUGUGGGGCUGCGUGGUCAGGCAGUGCGGCGCUGCUGCACAGAUUCCUGAGACAUCAGACAUUCUGGUGUUGGUGGGGCCAGCGGCUGCAGCCUGUGCCUCACGCAUGACCCCCCCCCGCCCCCCCUCAAGCGCUGGAGACACCAGGACACUUGGCACCACACUGACGUGACCCAAAAUUCGACCCUGCGGGACGCCAGUGACGGUCUGACAUGAAAGAUGAGGCGCAGAGGAGGACAUCAUCAACAGGCGGCGGGGAAACAAAGCUCCAGCUAAUCGCUGCUUCCUACAAAACUACAUCUGUAAAGUUACUUUUAACCCGAGAAACAAGCAAGACCAAAUAGCGAAACAGAGUAAAGACUCUUACACAGUCAAUUCAUGCUGUAGACGUGUUUUGUUCCUCACAAAAUUAACCUCUUUGAACCUUAACCAAUUAUUUUUACCAAGCAGGGAAGAGCAGCUUAAGACAACUUCAGGCACUUGCGUAACAAACUACAAGAAGAAACAGAUCUGCGCGCAUUUCCCCCCCUGGUAACCGUCCAAUAUUGAGGCUUCUUCAUGCCUCUGCUCUCGCUGUCUGCAAUGAGCGUCUGUGUACAUAGUUCUCCUGCACUUGGAUGCCCUUGCCACUCUGGGU